rnacentral:rRNA from 1 species
AACGCGAAGAACCUUACCUACCCUUGACAUGUCAGGAAGUUGGCAGAGAGGUCGAUGUGCCCGAAAGGGAGCCUGAACACAGGUGCUGCAUGGCUGUCGUCAGCUCGUGUCGUGAGAUGUUGGGUUAAGUCCCGCAACGAGCGCAACCCUUGUCAUUAGUUGCUACAUUUAGUUGGGCACUCUAAUGAGACUGCCGGUGACAAACCGGAGGAAGGUGGGGAUGACGUCAAGUCCUCAUGGCCCUUAUGGGUAGGGCCUCACACGUCAUACAAUGGCGCAUACAGAGGGUUGCCAACCCGCGAGGGGGAGCCAAUCCCAGAAAGUGCGUCGUAGUCCGGAUCGGAGUCUGCAACUCGACUCCGAGAAGUCGGAAUCGCUAGUAAUCGCGGAUCAGCAUGUCGCGGUGAAUACGUUCCGGGGUCUUGUACACACCG